rnacentral:misc_RNA from 1 species
UCUCCGUUGGUGAACCAGCGGAGGGAUCAUUACCGAGUUUGCAACUCCCAAACCCCAUGUGAACCUUACCAAACGUUGCUUCGGCGGGAUGCCCCGGGCGCGGGCCGCAGGCCUCAGCCCCGGAACCAGGCGCCCGCCGGAGGCCCAAACCAAACUCUUGUUUUUGUAGAAUCUUCUGAGUGGCCUUUUAGGCAAAAAAUGAAUCAAAACUUUCAACAACGGAUCUCUUGGUUCUG